GGCCCCGCGUCAGGGCACGCGCCCGCGCGCCUCCCGCAGUCCGCCAGCCGGGCCCACGGCCCCGCGGGGUCUCUUCGCGCCGCCCCGGACACAGCCCGGCUGCCACGGCCGGUCCCGUCACGCGCGGCAGCCUCGCGCCGGCCCGGCCGUCUGUCGCGCGCGCACAGGCGGCUGCCCAGCCCACCGUCCCGCACAGGCCCGGCCGCGGCGGCUCCUUCCGAAGCCCGCUAGCGGGGCGACGCCCGCGCGGCCACCGGGAAAAGAAGUGCAGGCCCGGGGCGCCUCCCGGGGCCCGCCGGCCAAACCCGGUACCUGGGAGGGCUGCCGGGCUGAGGGGACCAGGCCAGGCCGGGCCGCCUAAGACCGGCGGCGGCGGCGGCGGCGGCGGAGGAGGAGGCGAGUCCUCCGCGCGCCCUCUCCAGGGCGGGGCGGGGGCGGGGCCACCCGGUGAUUGGUCGGCAGGCUCUGACGGACAGUCUGCGUGUCCCGCCUCUCCCCCCUCCCUUCCCGGGGCAGCCGGGGGCGGCCCCGCCGGCGGCGCCUGCGACCGUCAGACCCACGAUUUUCCCGGCCCUGCGGCCGAAGUGGCCUCGCGGGUGUGUGUGGAGAGUCCCGUUAUUCGGAGUAGUCCACAGGCCUGAGCAUGCCCCUGCGAGCCCUCCAGUGGUCUUGGCCUGGUCAUACACUUCGCACCCCCACGCCGCGAGUAUCCACGCGACUAGGAUGGGGACUCAGGCCCUACGGCUCCGCACCAUUCCUGCAAAUGCUCUCCCGAGCUUUGGUUUUCCCGGGCCGACUCUAUCCUUGUUUUCCUCCUCGGUCUCUGGCCGCUGCCUUUCGACACCUCGGCAACUUCUCUUCCUCCGGGGUGGGUCCUGAGUCAGUUCCCAAGGCGGCCUGACCCUUCUCUCGGCGUCACAGCCCCCCGCCCCCUGCCAAAUUCAGGCACCCGAGCGCCGAAGCUCUAUCCCUCCCUGCAUCCCGUUACCUGUUCCACGACCCCACGUAGCACGGACAUCUCACAUCUCUCUUCAAAUUGCUUCUCCCAUGGUCUUCAGUUUCUCAGAACAUGCCUCUGACGCACCCCGGGCCGUCUAAUUGCCCUGUCACAGAACACCGCCCAAACUAAAGACACCUUCAGUCACAGUAGAGCCUGUCUGACGGAUGUUGAGCCAGACGAAGCAGGACAGCAUACUGCAUUUCACAGAUACUGGGAAGAGGAUGACACGUGAAAGCUGUUUAUCAAAUGGAUCCUGUGCCAGGUUGUCACCUCCAUCCCAAGAAUCCUGCAGGAGAUACUGUUUAUGAAGCUGAGACAAGAGUCCCUACAUCUACUGACUUCAGAUCAUUCCUCAGAUUCUACCAGCACUCUGAGAAGAGCUGCUAAGUCCUCCAGAAAAAAAAAAAAAAAAAGAUGCA